AUGGUACUCUUUCAAUCAGCGGGGUGGAGCAGUAGUAGCUCGCAAGGCUCAAAAGGGCUCACUCGCAAGUAAUUGUGAGUGGAACUCCUGUCAAAUUCGGUGAAACCUCUCGUAUGGAGUGGCAAUACCGAGCCAAGCUCCGACAAUGGUCGGAAAAGGUGUAGAGACUAGACGGCAGGCAUCCGACUUCUCUGUGGAGAAAAGGAUGAAGGCAUAGUCCAGACUACAAAUUAGUCU
rnacentral:ncRNA from 1 species